rnacentral:lncRNA from 1 species
GGUCCCAGCUAAUUGGGAGGCUAAAGUGGCAGGAUCUCAUAAAUUCAGGAGAUUGAGGCUGCAGUGAGCCAUGAUUGCACAUCUGUAUUCCAGCCUGGAUGACAGAGCAAGACCCUGUCUCAAAAAAAACAAUACAUACACACACACACACACACACACACACACACACACACACAAAUAUUGAACCCCCAUUGCCAGUCUUCCUGGGAAUUUUGUUCUAUAUCUGUCUGUAAGUUUAAAGUAUGUACUGUAGUUCAUCCUUUAACUUCAGAGUUAAUUUGAAAUUUAUUUAAAAACUAUGUUUGGAAAUUUACAUAAUCAUGAUGACUGCAUGUAAACUGUUAGUAAUAUGUUAUAGAGUUUCCUUGGGUUUUCUGUUAGAAUAAUAACUUUGUGUCAGAUAGCUAUUUGAGAAAUUUAGAAGAAAUUUAGAAGAUAUUUAAGCUAUGGAACAUAAGCUAUGGAGCAUGUCCCUCAGAAUCCCUUUAUUCUCAUUUGAUAAACAGUAGAAUCCGGACAAGGAAGAACCUUAUUUUCUCUGCCUUUGCUAGUUGGUGGAGGAAAACUUGUUGUUUGAAACAAGAAGGACUUGAUCUUUCUAUCCUAUACUUUUUUCAUCAUCCUCAAAGAGGGCUUAUUUCAAUGGAUAGACCAUUCAUAGUUUUGACAGCUCAAAUAAAAACCCUGAAGGAUGAGCAACCACUGAAAAGUUCCAAGGGCUUUAUUUCCAAUGGAAGGAUUUCAAUUACAGUCAUUUUUUCAAGUUAGUGCAAGGAGGUAAAUGGAAUCACAGUUUCAAAUGUUAAAUUUGAAGACUAUACCAUUACCAGUGUUCCUUGGAAAUAAAAGAUGCAGCCAAUCUAAAUCAAAGACGUGAUUCCAGAUUACCUCAUAAGAAUAUAAGGAAGACUACAGGCAGCAAUUGGGCCACUUGUAUGGAAGAGUAUACAGUGCAUCAGAUGUGACUUUCAUUAAGCCAUGUUACCCUUGUUUGCCAUUGAGGGCAGGAGGCAUCCUUUCAACAGGCUGUAAUAGCUUCUUGUUGAGAGGCUGCCUGCUAUACAGUUGCACCAGCAGAGAGAGAAAAGAGGGAUACAGAUUCACAUAUUGGCCUUGUUUUUUAAAUGCUAUUUUUGUCAUUUUUGGAGUUGGUUUCCAGUGCUUAGAAGAGCUGUAAGUAUAUAGUAGUUAUUUGUUGUAUGUUUUUGUAUGAAUAAGUAAGAGAAGGAAUUAAUGAAUUAGGCUUUAUAAACUGGAAGUUUUUGUUGCACACACAUUAAGCUUAGGUUCUAUCCCUUCUCUUCUCCACAUGGUACCACCAGACUUUUCCCCACCUCACCCCCUCAUCAACCAUUUUUUAUUUUUUCUUUUGCUUGUUUGUUUGUUUGAGAUGGAGUCUCACUCUGUCGCUCAGGCUGGAAUGCAGUGAUGCCACUGGGUUCCAGUGAUUCUCCUCCCUCAGCCUCCUGAGCAGCUGGGAUUACAGGCACCUGCCACCAUGCCCAGCUAAUUACAUCAGCCUUUUAAAACUUAGUUUUCUCUCUAGAAUUUGAUUGUGUGCACUUAGAGUAAGUGGGAGGAUCUCAAGACAGUAUAGAAAGAGUUGGACAUCUAGUUCUGUUUUGCAGAGGGAGUGCAGAGAAACUUCCUUGAAGUUAUAUAAUUGAUUUUUGGAACCUCAUUUGUAGGAUAGUUGCAUGGAGAAAGCCAUUCAAAUUGCAUUCAUUGUACUUCUUAGGCCAAGGUAGAUCUGGUUACGUACAUACUUGUUAUUUGGUAGAAUACUGCUUAUCUUGACAUUAUCUGUUCCAUACUACAUUUACCAACUGGAAACAGUUAGUUAAAGCUUGAAACUGUUAAAAAAAAAAAA